rnacentral:rRNA from 1 species
UCAAGCGUUUAAGGGCGUGUAGUGGAUGCCUUGGCACUGAAAGCCGAUGAAGGACGUGAUAUACUGCGAUAAGUUUCGGGGAGCUGUAUGUAAGUUUUGAUCCGAAAAUUUCCGAAUGGGGAAACCCACCACUUUAUGUGGUACUUUAAACUGAAUACAUAGGUUUAAAGAGACAACCUGGAGAACUGAAACAUCUAAGUAACCAGAGGAAAAGAAAUCAAUUGAGAUUCCGUUAGUAGUGGCGAGCGAACGCGGACUAGGCCAGUAGUUUUGUUAAAAAAAUUUGAAUAGUUUGGAAAUGCUAACCAUAGAGGGUGAUAGUCCCGUAUGAGUAAUGUUUAACAAAAUUCUUGAGUAAAGCGGGACACGUGAAAUCCUGCUCGAAUAUAGGGGGACCACCCUCUAAGCCUAAAUACUCUUCAGUGACCGAUAGUGAACUAGUACCGUGAGGGAAAGGUGAAAAGAACCCCUAUUAGGGGAGUGAAAUAGAACCUGAAACCGCAUGCCUACAAUCAGUCGAAGCUCUUUUUAGAGUGACGGCGUACCUUUUGUAUAAUGGGUCAGUGACUUAAUUUAUAAAGCAAGCUUAAGCCAUCUAGGUGUAGGCGUAGCGAAAGCAAGUCUUAAUAGGGCGAUUAGUUUAAUGAAUUAGACCCGAAAACGAAUGAGCUUACCAUGAGCAGGUUGAAAGUUGGGUAACACCAACCGGAGGACCGAACCAGUUGACGUUGAAAAGUCUUUGGAUGACUUGUGGUAAGGGGUGAAAGGCCAACCAAAUUCGUAGAUAGCUGGUUUUCCGCGAAAACUAUUUAGGUAGUGCGUUGAAUAAAUAGAUGUUUAGAGGUAGAGCACUAAAUGGGCUAGGGGGAAGAGAUUCUUACCAAACCUAAUAAAACUCCGAAUGCUAAAUGUUGUUCUUCAGCAGACAGACUGUGGGUGCUAAGGUCCAUGGUCGAGAGGGAAAGAGCCCAGACCACCAGAUAAGGUCCCCAAAUUAUGAUUAAGUGUGAAAGGAUGUGGAAAUUCCUUAACAGCCGGGAGGUUGGCUUAGAAGCAGCCAUCCUUUAAAGAUAGCGUAACAGCUCACCGGUCUAAUAGAGUUUCUGCGCCGAAGAUGUAACGGGGCUAAAAUCAUAUACCGAAUCUGUGGGUUUAUAAAAUUUUCGAAUUUUAUAAGCGGUAGCGGAACGUUCUGUAAGCCUGUGAAGGGAUACCCGUGAGGGAUCCUGGAGGUAUCAGAAGUGCGAAUGCUGACAUAAGUAACGAUAAAAGAAGUGAAAAACUUCUUCGCCGAAAAUCCAAGGGUUUCUGCGCAAGGUUAAUCCGCGCAGAGUUAGUCGGCACCUAAGGCGAGGGCGAAAGCCGUAGUCGAUGGAAAUAAGGUUAAUAUUCCUUAACCAGAUGGUAGUGACGGAUCUUGUAAGUUGUGAGUUCUUAAUGGAUUGAACUUGCCGCGAAAAGGUUCCAAGAAAUAGCUCCAUCAUUAGACCGUACCCUAAACCGACACAGGUGGAUUAAUAGAGUAUAUUUAGGCGCUUGAGAGAAUGAUGUUGAAGGAACUCGGCAAAAUGCUUCCGUAACUUCGGGAUAAGGAAGACCUGUUUUUAGGCAACUAGAGAUGGGUGGCACAAGCCAGGGAGAAGCGACUGUUUAUCAAAAACACAGGGCUCUGCUAACACGUAAGUGGAUGUAUAGGGUCUGACGCCUGCCCGGUGCUGGAAGGUUAAUGCGAUGGGUGCAAGCUCAUUUCUGAAGCCCCAGUAAACGGCGGCCGUAACUAUAACGGUCCUAAGGUAGCGAAAUUCCUUGUCGGGUAAG